UACCAUCAUUAAGUUGGGGACUCUGGAAGGACCGCUGCGGUAACAACGCAGAGGAAGAUGGGGACGACGUCAAGUCAUCAUGGUCCUUAUGUCCGGGGCUACACACGUGCUACAAUGGCAGUUACAGAGGGGAGCGAAGCGGUAACGUGGAGCGAAUCUCAGAAAAGCUGCCUCAGUUCGGAUUGAGGUCUGCAACUCGACCUCAUGAAGCUGGAAUCGCUAGUAAUCGCGUAACAUCAUGACGCGGUGAAUACGUUCCCGGGCCUUGUACACACCGCCCGUCAAGUCAGCCGAGUGGAGUGCACCCGAAGGAGGUGGGCUAACCCGCAAGGGGAGCAGCUUUCGAAGGUGUGCUUCGUGAGGAGGACU
rnacentral:rRNA from 1 species